rnacentral:rRNA from 1 species
AGAGUUUGAUCAUGGCUCAGGACGAACGCUGGCGGCGUGCCUAACACAUGCAAGUCGAGCGGAGUAGAGUUCAACACUGAGUAUUCGAGCGUUGGCAAAAGUUAAGCCAGCGUCAUGCACAAACUACCUUGUUGAUAGACAUAUUUAAAAGAAAGUUUUGUGCAUCACGCUAAAUUAAGUGCCUAACACAAUGCUAUGACUAAAACAAGUCAAAAUAGUAUUGAUAAGAAACGCCACACUUGAGUGCUGAGUGUUGGACUCUACUUAGCGGCGGACGGGUGAGUAACGCGUGGGCAACCUGCCUUGCACAGGGGGAUAACACAGGGAAACUUGUGCUAAUACCGCAUAACAUCACGGGGAGGCAUCUUCCUGUGAUCAAAGGAGAAAUCCGGUGCAAGAUGGGCCCGCGUCCGAUUAGCUAGUUGGCGGUGUAACGGACCACCAAGGCGACGAUCGGUAGCCGAACUGAGAGGUUGAUCGGCCACAUUGGGACUGAGACACGGCCCAGACUCCUACGGGAGGCAGCAGUGGGGAAUAUUGCGCAAUGGAGGAAACUCUGACGCAGCAACGCCGCGUGAAGGAUGAAGGUCUUCGGAUUGUAAACUUCUUUGAUGAGGGACGAAGGAGGUGACGGUACCUCAAAAACAAGCCACGGCUAACUACGUGCCAGCAGCCGCGGUAAUACGUAGUGGCGAGCGUUGUCCGGAAUUACUGGGUGUAAAGGCGCGUAGGCGGGGAUGUAAGUCANAUGUGAAAUACCAUGGCUCACCGUGAGGCUGCAUCUGAAACUAUGUUUCUUGAGUGCUGGAGAGGAAAGCGGAAUUCCUAGUGUAGCGGUNNAAUGCGUAGAUAUUAGGAGGAACACCAGUGGCGAAGGCGGCUUUCUGGACAGUAACUGACGCUGAGGCGCGAAAGCGUGGGGAGCGAACAGGAUUAGAUACCNUGGUAGUCCACGCCGUAAACGAUGGAUACUAGGUGUAGGAGGUAUCGACCCCUUCUGUGCCGGAGUAAACACAAUAAGUAUCCCACCUGGGGAGUACGGCCGCAAGGUUGAAACUCAAAGGAAUUGACGGGGGCCCGCACAAGCAGUGGAGUAUGUGGUUUAAUUCGAAGCAACGCGAAGAACCUUACCAGGGCUUGACAUACAGAGGGAUAUGUCAGAGAUGGCAUAGCUCUUCGGAGCCUCUGUACAGGUGGUGCAUGGUUGUCGUCAGCUCGUGUCGUGAGAUGUUGGGUUAAGUCCCGCAACGAGCGCAACCCUUGUUGUUAGUUGGUAACACGUAAAGGUGACCACUCUAACGAGACUGCCGGUGACAAAUCGGAGGAAGGUGGGGACGACGUCAAAUCAUCAUGCCCCUUAUGUCCUGGGCUACACACGUACUACAAUGGCUACAACAAAGGGAAGCGAAGCCGUAAGGCGGAGCAAAUCCCCAAAAGUAGUCCCAGUUCGGAUUGUGGGCUGCAACCCGCCCACAUGAAGUCGGAAUUGCUAGUAAUGGCAGGUCAGCAUACUGCCGUGAAUACGUUCCCGGGCCUUGUACACACCGCCCGUCACACCAUGAGAGUCAGCAACACCCGAAGUCAGUAGCUUAACCGCAAGGAGGGCGCUGCCGAAGGUGGGGCCGAUGAUUGGGGUGAAGUCGUAACAAGGUAGCCGUAUCGGAAGGUGCGGCUGGAUCACCUCCUUUCUG